GAGAGUUCAAGAGGGCGUGAAACCGCUUGGAAGCAAACAGAUGGACCUGACGGAGAGUCGCUGGGAUUCAGCCUGCUGCGUUACCUCAGCCUGCUGCUUGAUCGUGAUGACGAGUUUGUAGAUGCUGGUGUGGCCAGCGGGUGCAUUUCCCGGCGAUGCGCAUCAGAGCCUGUGUCGGUGCUGGAGCUACGGAGGGACGUGCCGGCCAACCUAGUUGGUGUCCCAUUCCUUCCUGAAACCGAGUUACUGGCACAGGGCUAGGGCAGGCGUCCGCGUGUACUCCCCUUCGCUUGUUUGCUGUCGCAGUUAAACGGCAGUCUCAUGCUUGCAUGAUUCAGCGACCUCUGCUUGAUAGUGACCUGAGUUGCGGGAGUUGGAUGUUUCUCUCUGGUGUUUUAGUCAGUCACCCAUCUGACCCGUCUUGAAACACGGACCAAGGAGUCUAACAUGUGCGCGAGUCACUGGGUUGCAACACCCAAAGGCGUAAUGAAAGUAAAGUCUAGUUUGGCUGGACGACAUGGGACCCUUUGCUUCGGGAGAGGUGCACCAUGGUCCCGUCUAUACUGCAUUGUCAGUUGGGCGGAGAUAGAGCGUACACGUUGGGACCCGAAAGAUGGUGAACUAUGCCUGAGCAGGAUGAAGCC
rnacentral:rRNA from 1 species